AACGCUGGCGGCAGGCUUAACACAUGCAAGUCGAACGAUAUAGUGGCAGACGGGUGAGUAACGCGUGGGAACGUACCUUUCACUACGGAAUAGCUCUUGGAAACGAGUGGUAAUACCGUAUACGCCCUUCGGGGGAAAGAUUUAUCGGUGAAAGAUCGGCCCGCGUUAGAUUAGCUAGUUGGUAGGGUAAUGGCCUACCAAGGCGACGAUCUAUAGCUGGUCUGAGAGGAUGAUCAGCCACACUGGGACUGAGACACGGCCCAGACUCCUACGGGAGGCAGCAGUGGGGAAUCUUGCACAAUGGGCGAAAGCCUGAUGCAGCCAUGCCGCGUGAAUGAUGAAGGCCUUAGGGUUGUAAAAUUCUUUCGCUAGGGAUGAUAAUGACAGUACCUAGUAAAGAAGC
rnacentral:rRNA from 1 species